rnacentral:ncRNA from 2 species
UCCAUAAAGAAGGAAUCAGGUUCCUUGAAUCAAUAGCAUUCAAGGAUUAAAAGGGAAGUUCGGUGAAAAUCCGACACGGUCCCGCCACUGUAAGAGAGGAGUCAGCACAACGAAUUGCCACUGGUCCAUAAGGAUUGGGAAGGUGUGGUGCUGAUGAUGAGCCUUAAGUCAGGAGACCUGCCUGGUUCAACAACACUGC